rnacentral:rRNA from 1 species
AUUGAACGCUGGCGGCAUGCCUUACACAUGCAAGUCGAACGGCAGCACGGGUGCUUGCACCUGGUGGCGAGUGGCGAACGGGUGAGUAAUACAUCGGAACAUGUCCUGUAGUGGGGGAUAGCCCGGCGAAAGCCGGAUUAAUACCGCAUACGAUCUACGGAUGAAAGCGGGGGAUCUUCGGGCCUCGCGCUAUAGGGUUGGCCGAUGGCUGAUUAGCUAGUUGGUGGGGUAAAGGCCAACCAAGGCGACGAUCAGUAGCUGGUCUGAGAGGACGACCAGCCACACUGGGACUGAGACACGGCCCAGACUCCUACGGGAGGCAGCAGUGGGGAAUUUUGGACAAUGGGCGAAAGCCUGAUCCAGCAAUGCCGCGUGUGUGAAGAAGGCCUUCGGGUUGUAAAGCACUUUUGUCCGGAAAGAAAUCCUUGGCCCUAAUACGGUCGGGGGAUGACGGUACCGGAAGAAUAAGCACCGGCUAACUACGUG